rnacentral:rRNA from 1 species
UACAGAGGUCUCAAGCGUUGUUCGGAUUCAUUGGGCGUAAAGGGUGUGUAGGUGGCGCGCUAAGUCGGGUGUGAAAUUUCGGAGCUUAACUCCGAAACUGCAUUCGAUACUGGCGUGCUUGAGGACUGGAGAGGAGACUGGAAUUCAUGGUGUAGCAGUGAAAUGCGUAGAGAUCAUGAGGAAGACCAGUGGCGAAGGCGGGUCUCUGGACAGUUCCUGACACUGAGGCACGAAAGCGUGGGGAGCAAACAGG